rnacentral:rRNA from 1 species
CUACGGGUCGCUCCAGUGAGGAAUUUUGCGCAAUGGGGGGAACCCUGACGCAGCAACGCCGCGUGAGUGAUGAAGGCUUUCGGGUCGUAAAGCUCUGUCAAGUGGGAAGAACCUAUGCAGUGUUAAUAUCACUGUAUACUGACGGUACCACUGAAGGAAGCACCGGCUAACUCCGUGCCAGCAGCCGCGGUAAUACGGGGGGUGCAAGCGUUAUUCGGAAUCAUUGGGCGUAAAGGGCACGUAGGCGGCUUGGUAAGUCAGAUGUGAAAGCCCGGGGCUUAACGCCGGAAGUGCAUUUGAUACUGUCAGGCUUGAGUAUGGGAGAGGGAAGUGGAAUUCCUGGUGUAGAGGUGACAUUCGUAGAUAUCAGGAGGAACACCGGUGGCGAAGGCGACUUCCUGGACCAAUACUGACGCUGAGGUGCGAAGGCGUGGGUAGCAAACAGGAUUAGAUACCCCGGUAGUC